rnacentral:rRNA from 1 species
AACUGCAUUCGAAACUGAUAACCUAGAGUAUGGAAGGGGCAGGUGGAAUUAGUGGUGUAGGGGUAAAAUCCGUAGAUAUCACUAGGAAUACCGAAAGCGAAGGCGACCUGCUGGGACAUUACUGACGCUGAGGCGUGAAAGCGUGGGGAGCAAACAGGAUUAGAUACCCUGGUAGUCCACGCCCUAAACGAUGAAUGCUAGUCGUCGGGGAGCUCGUCUCUUCGGUGAUGCACUAAACAGAUUAAGCAUUCCGCCUGGGGAGUACGGUCGCAAGAUUAAAACUCAAAGGAAUAGACGGGGACCCGCACAAGUGGUGGAGCAUGUGGUUUAAUUCGAAGAUACGCGAAGAACCUUACCUAGCCUUGACAUUGAUAGAAUCUUCCAGAGAUGGAGGAGUGCCUUUCGGGGAACUUGAAAACAGGUGCUGCACGGCUGUCGUCAGCUCGUGUCGUGAGAUGUUGGGUUAAGUCCCGCAACGAGCGCAACCCUCGUCGUUAGUUGCUAACAGGUUAAGCUGAGCACUCUAGCGAGACUGCCUUCGCAAGGAGGAGGAAGGUGAGGACGACGUCAAGUCAUCAUGGCCCUUAUGGCUAGGGCUACACACGUGCUACAAUGGGGCGUACAGAGAGUUGCGAUACCGCGAGGUGGAGCCAAUCUCAUAAAGCGUCUCUCAGUUCGGAUUGUUCUCUGCAACUCGAGAACAUGAAGCUGGAAUCACUGGUAAUCGUAGAUCAGCAAUGCUACGGUGAAUACGUUCCCGGGUCUUGUACUCACCGCCCGUCACACCAUGGGAGUUGAUUUCGCCCGAAGCGGGGAUGCUAAACUAGCUACCCUCUACGGCGGAAUUAGCGACUGGGGUGAAGUCGUAACAAGGUAACC